CAUUAUAGAUGUUUCAUUACCGAAAAGAGUAAAAAUAUGCGACAACUCUUGUUGACUGCCCUGACGAUAUAGCGGCUGUGUGCUUAGUUUCGUUGCGUGGCAACCUAUCUUCCGAAUUGAUUUUAAUUUAGAUCUAAAUUGUAUGAUUAAUUAAUUUUGUUUUAAAAAAAAAGAACAAAACAGUGUAACUGUGAGAAUUAUUUUCAUUGAUGUCAAAAAUAUGUGACGUCAUUGAUUAGACGUGUCAUAGAAAUAUUUCUAUAAGAUGCGUAAUCUCGUUUGGGUGAGAUUUGGUAAAUUUACAUGCUCGUUACCAGGUUUGCCCAGUCCGGUUCCGGUCUGAAUUUUUUUUUAACCGACAGUCUGUGGGUGACAGUUUUAGUUACGCUCCAGUGUUACUGGAAAAGAGAUUUGCUCAAGCACUGGGCUGUGGAGCUUCGCUCUUUAUCAAUGUCAGUAUCAAAGUACAGCCACAAAGUACAGACACAAAUAAAUCGGCAUUUAUAUUCCCAGGGUACGAUCCUACCCACAACCCAGCUUUUGAUAUUCUCCAGUCAGAUUUGGAGUCAGAUCGACUGGAAACAACCAUUUAACUAAAUGGCCUGAGUCAGUGAGUGUAGAAUGACGUUGGUUGUUGUCAAAUAUAAAACCUCCACAAUAAACCCUUUUGUGAACCAAAAAUAUUAAUCAAUUUCAUUCCAUGUGGAUAUCAAAAUUGUUCUUUAAGUUAAAUUUUAUAUGAGUAUUAGGUUAAUUUUGUUAAAUAUCAAAAAGUGUGAAAAUUAAUUAGCUACGUAAUUUCGUUUGGGUGAAAUUUGGUAGAAAGGAGGAGAUAACUCUUACCAUGUUAACAUGCACAUGCAUUAGAUCUAUUUGAUAAGGCCAACUUCAAGUUUGGUCAAAGGUCACGAGAUGUAAACAGGGCUAGCGCUAGCACCAAACCUAACCCUAACCCUGGCCUUACGUAUACUAGCCCAUGCACAUUAUCUGUUUUGCCCAGUGUAUCCUGUUCUGGUCUCAAGCCAACAGAUGAAGGUUUCAGUUAUACUAUUUUGUUCCCGGAAAAGAACUUUGGUCUAUAUUAGCCAGGUCGAUGUAGGCCUACCUAAUAAUGACAUAGUAGGCCUGAUUACUGACAUGACAUCAAUCAAUCCCCCAAACUCACGCGUUGAUAUCAACCCUAUUCAUUUUAAUUUUUUAAUAAAUAUCCAUGAUAGCUACUCCAUUAAUAUUAGCUUUGUGAUAAAUAUCCACAAAAUCUGUUUUAGUGUAAAAUAAAAGCAUGAGUAAAAAGGUUCUUUCAAAGAUUACAACCGAUGGAAGUCAGCAGUUUUUUCUGUUAACGACGAUACCAGUGGAUAAAGAAGAUGGUUUUAACUUGUUACUAACGGAUGGACAAUCAACAUGGACAGGAACUUUUUCAGCUGAUAAUAUGGACAAACAGCGUAAAAGGUUAAAAAUGGAUUUUACCUCGUAUUUUAAUCAAACUGAAAAAGCCUUCAUCAAAGAUGAUAAUGAAGUGAAUUUUGAAUACAGUGUUAAAAUUAAAAAUGAUGAUACAGCUGAAUUGGUGUGGAAGAAACAUGUCACCUCAGAUGAUAUUAAGUUUCAGUUAGGAUGUAUAACUCUAAUGUUAAAAGAUGACCCAGGGACUGGUAUAUGUACGAUAUUAAAUCAUAGCGUAGUCAACAGUGAACGAGAUCAACAUCAACUUAAACAGCUAGAAACAGAUAAUAACAGACUGUCACAAGAACGGAUGAUGGCGUUAAAGGUGCUUGAUAACUAAAAGAGCGCUGACCAUAGGAGACUAGUUGAACAGUUUUGGGCUUUAAAAGUAGUUUAUCUGAUGUACGUAAUGUUCAGCCAGGUGUAUAAAGUUCUAAAAGAUCUGAGAGGUAAACAGGAGCUAAAUUAUUUAAACAUUUAAAAAGGCUAGAAAAAUAUAUUGCUGCAAAAGAAGAAAUGGAAAAAGAUUUAUUUUCAAAGGACAGUGUAGUUUCUGCCUACUCUUGAUCAAGUUCGAGUUGUUGGAUCUUCUUUAAUGUGGACACCAUCUCGUACUCAAUGGACCACCAGUUUUCAUCCUUUUCCUUACUGAACCAGUGACAUGAGGAAAGCAUCCUGGAAAAUCUCAAGAAACCUUCUCGACAAACACCAAGAUCAAAGUCAGGAUCUCCCGGUUAAUUAUUAUCAUCUACAUGGUUCAGGUGAUGAUAAUGAGAAAGAUGAUGGAACAUCAGUGUCACAGUCGAAUUCUACUCGAAAUGGUAGACAAAACAGAGAAGAACGGGUUGAAACAAAUAAAGAAGAAAGGUAAAUAAACCUUAAUUAUUGAACACCUGACCGAAAUGGAAGACAAAACAGAGAACAACAGGUUGAAACAAAUAAAGAAGAAAGCGAUAAAGAAGAAAAUACAGAUGAGGAAGAGACGCCACCACCUAAACGUCAGAGAAAGAAUGUAGGCCGUAAAACUGGUGAUCUAGAUUCAUCGUUAGAUUUAGGGGAUGACGAGAUUACAUCAUCAUCUUCUACGAUAGUUAAAAGGUCAGCUAGAAAGAGAGGAAGUGUAAGAACAGCGACACCAAGUAAACCUAUUUUACCUAAAAUAACUAGAAAUACGUCCAAUGAGAGCUAUGAUGGUAGUCGAGGUCGGAUGAGUAAAAGUAGUUCUAAUAAUUCUAAUGUAUCUAAUAUAGAUCCUGAAGAUUUGUUCAGUGUUUUGUAGACUUAUUUAUCAGACAGAAUAGUACAUAACUGUUUGUAUCUGGUUUAUUUAUCAGACAUUUCAAUCAGUUUCUAAUGUGCUUGAUACUGAAAUUUGAGAGAACAACUGUAAUAAUAGGAGGUAGCCAUUGUUUACGAUUCAGACAUAAUGUUGUGUAUUAAUUGUAUAAUUUGUAUAUAAUACAGGCAUAAUGUUGUGUAUUAAACAUAACCUAAUAUUGUAUAUAUCACAUGAAUAUACUACUGCUAAUAUAAUAGAAUAUAUUGUAUUAACAUGUUUGUUUGUUUGUAUCUAAGACGCCAUGUUGAAUGUC